CCUACGGGUGGCAGCAGUGAGGAAUAUUGGUCAAUGGACGAGAGUCUGAUCCAGCCACGUAGCGUGAAGGAUGACUGCCUUCUGGGUUGUAAGCUUCUUUUAUAAAGGAAUAAAACGAGGCACGUGUGCCUUUUGCAUGUACUUUAUGAAUAAGGAUCGGCUAACUCCGUGCCAGCAGCAGCGGUAAUACGGAGGAUCCGAGCGUUAUCCGGAUUUAAUGGGUUUAAAGGGAGCGUAGAUGGGUUGUUAAGUCAGUUGGGAAAGUUUGCGGCUCAACCGUAAAAUUGCAAUUGAUACUGGCAGUCUAGAGUACAGUUGAGGUAGGCGGAAUUCGAGGUGUAGCGGUGAAAUGCGUAGAUAUCACGAAGAACACCGAUUGCGAAGGCAGCUUACUAAACUGAGACUGACAUUGAGGCUCGAAAGUGUGGGGAGCAAACAGGAUUAGAUACCCGGGUAGUC
rnacentral:rRNA from 1 species